rnacentral:rRNA from 1 species
CAACAACGAAGAGUUUGAUCCUGGCUCAGGAUGAACGCUAGCGACAGGCUUAACACAUGCAAGUCGAGGGGCAGCAUUUUAGUUUGCUUGCAAACUAAAGAUGGCGACCGGCGCACGGGUGAGUAACACGUAUCCAACCUGCCGAUAACUCGGGGAUAGCCUUUCGAAAGAAAGAUUAAUACCGGAUAGUAUAACGAGAAGGCAUCUUUUUGUUAUUAAAGAAUUUCGAUAACCGAUGGGAUGCGUUCCAUUAG